UACGGAGGGUGCAAGCGUUAUCCGGAUUCACUGGGUGUAAAGGGUGCGUAGGCGGAUAGGUAAGUCCGUGGUGAAAUCCUGCAGCUUAACUGCAGAACUGCCGUGGAUACUAUCUAUCUUGAAUAUCGUGGAGGUUAGCGGAAUAUGUCAUGUAGCGGUGAAAUGCUUAGAUAUGACAUAGAACACCUAUUGCGAAGGCAGCUUACUACGCAUAUAUUGACGCUGAGGCACGAAAGCGUGGGGAUCAAACAGG
rnacentral:rRNA from 1 species